rnacentral:rRNA from 1 species
UACGUAGGGUGCGAGCGUUACUCGGAAUUACUGGGCGUAAAGCGUGCGCAGGCGGUUCUCCAAGUCCGUUGUGAAAGCCCCGGGCUCAACCUGGGAAUGGCAGUGGAAACUAGGGGACUGGAAUCUGGCAGAGGGGGGUGGAAUGCCGCGUGUAGCAGUGAAAUGCGUAGAGAUGCGGCGGAACACCGAUGGCGAAGGCAGCCCCCUGGGCUGAGAUUGACGCUCAGGCACGAAAGUGUGGGGAGCGAACAGG